rnacentral:rRNA from 1 species
AGAGUUUGAUCCUGGCUCAGAUUGAACACUGGCGGCAUGCCUUACACAUGCAAGUCGAACGGCAGCACGGGGGCAACCCUGGUGGCGAGUGGCGAACGGGUGAGUACUGCAUCGGAACGUACCCAGUAGUGGGGGAUAACUAGUCGAAAGAUUAGCUAAUACCGCAUACGCACUGAGGUGGAAAGCGGGGGAUCGCAAGACCUCGCGCUAUUGGAGCGGCCGAUGUCCGAUUAGGUAGUUGGUGGGGUAAAAGCCUACCAAGCCGACGAUCGGUAACUGGUCUGAGAGGACGACCAGUCACACUGGGACUGAGACACGGCCCAGACUCCUACGGGAGGCAGCAGUGGGGAAUUUUGGACAAUGGGGGCAACCCUGAUCCAGCAAUGCCGCGUGUGUGAAGAAGGCCUUCGGGUUGUAAAGCACUUUUGGCGGGAAAGAAACGGCGCUUGCUAAUACCAGGCGCUAAUGACGGUACCCGCAGAAUAAGCACCGGCUAACUACGUGCCAGCAGCCGCGGUAAU